AAACCGGGGACAGGGUGUACUUCCAGGGGCUGGAGGAUUUGCUUGCACACAAGAGAAGGGUUCGAGGCCGCUGCCUGUGAUUCAGAUUUCUGCAAAUCCAAUCAUGUUUUCAAUGACCUAAGGGGGUUUCAUUUUAAGGCAAUCCUUCAGUGAAUGCUUUUCUUAGGAUUACAGAAGCAAAAAGAUAGCCCAGGCUAUUUAGUCACCGAACCCUGAAGACCUACCAGACCUAUCAGGUCGCAGGGACUGGGAGACAGAGAAAGAGGAGGAAAACGGCGUGCUGGACCUCAGUCCAGGGGUGCAGAUACUUACACACAUGACCUGAUGACAGCUCGGUUUGGAAAGGCAGGUGGAAAGAACCGAGUGAAAGGAGAGGAUGAUGAAUGAAACACACUAAGUGACGGAUUUGAUUAAGAAGGUCCCGUGGAGUUUCCACUGUGGCUCAGCAGGGCCAUCCUCUCCCGACUUCCAGCAUAUUCCCCCGUGGUCACAGAGCAAGCGGAGCGGGCAGCGGCUGGGUUCUCUCCACCCCAAGUCAACCAAGUACAUUAACGCCUGCGGCCUGGGUAUCCCCCAGAUCCUGCCCUGGGGCCCUUGGCCUCUUUCUUCAUCUCCAACGCCUUUGCUCACCUCGCUUGGCUAAAGGCAACAUCAUCCCCACUCUGCACAAGAAACCGUGCCACCCUGGCAAGCUGGCCAGCCCUCCUGUCCUCCGUGGGGCCUUCGGCUGACCCCUCCCUCCCUUCCCACCUGGCGCAGCCCCAGCAUCAGCAGCCCUUGUCACCACAUCCCCCUCCCACCCUCCCUGUCCUCAACUUUGCGAGGGGGACCCACGCUCCAGCCCCACUCCACUGGGAGCUUCUUGAAGCAAGGCCCGUGCCCAAGUCACCUCCGUUGGCCCAGCACCGAGCAGGAGGCCUGGUGGCACUUUAACACAGGAGGCUGCCCCCAGGCUUGCCGCAUGCUGGGCCCGGACGCAGGAGCAGCUCUCACAUCCUCGUGCUGACGAGCGCCCUGGCAUGGCUGCCAGUUCAGGGUCUGUGACUCAAGCCAGGCCCUCAGGGUAUCUUGGCAAUGCAUGUCCCUUAACUGGCUCCCUUUGUCGCCUGACAUUACUCCUUCCAACCCUCAGCUGUCUCGCUGGCUCCCCACUCUCUCAGCACAGGCCCCCUCGGCCCCCUCACGUGUGGGGUAAGAACAGCAAUGACAGCUGACGCGAACCAGGAGCUAAGUUCAUACCCUCUCUGUCCCGCUUUUCCCCGCCACCCUGCCAUUAGGAAUCAUUAUCCUCAGCCAAAUAUUCUGUACAAAGGUUUGCCGAAAUGUAAUUUAUAAUAGCAAAGACCUGGAGUCCACCUUAAUAUCCAUCAGAAAUCAUGCAUUCAAAACAAGUUUAAUUACAUAAGAAAAUACACUGUUAUAUAAACAGAAUAAAGAUACAUCAGCUUGGAGUUCA